UACGGAGGGGGCUAGCGUUGUUCGGAAUUACUGGGCGUAAAGCGCGCGUAGGCGGCUUUGUAAGUUAGAGGUGAAAGCCCCGGAGCUCAACUCCGGAACUGCCUUUAAGACUGCAUCGCUAGAACGUCGGAGAGGUAAGUGGAAUUCCGAGUGUAGAGGUGAAAUUCGUAGAUAUUCGGAAGAAACACCAGUGGCGAAGGCGACUUACUGGAC
rnacentral:rRNA from 1 species